GCACUGCUGAGGAGUCCCAUAAUAGGACGAAACAGUCGUCCAGUGC
rfam:Schistosoma rodhaini strain Burundi genome assembly, scaffold: SROB_scaffold0000682